AAUCAACGCUGGCGGCGUGCCUCAGACAUGCAAGUCGAACGCGAAAGUCCCCUUCGGGGGACAAGUAGAGUGGCGCACGGGUGAGUAACACGUAGGUAAUCUACCUUCGGAUGGGGAAUAACAACCGGAAACGGUUGCUAAUACCGCAUAAUGCAGCGGCACCUAAUGGUGACAGUUGUUAAAGCGGGGGAUCGAAAGACCUCGCGUCUGAAGAGGAGCCUGCGGCGGAUUAGCUAGNGGUAGGGUAACGGCCUACCAAGGCGACGAUCCGUAACUGGUCGU
rnacentral:rRNA from 1 species